AGUGAACGCUGGCGGUAGGCCUAACACAUGCAAGUCGAACGGCAGCACAGUAAGAGCUUGCUCUUACGGGUGGCGAGUGGCGGACGGGUGAGGAAUACAUCGGAAUCUACUUUUUCGUGGGGGAUAACGUAGGGAAACUUACGCUAAUACCGCAUACGACCUACGGGUGAAAGCAGGGGAUCUUCGGACCUUGCGCGAUUGAAUGAGCCGAUGUCGGAUUAGCUAGUUGGCGGGGUAAGGGCCCACCAAGGCGACGAUCCGUAGCUGGUCUGAGAGGAUGAUCAGCCACACUGGAACUGAGACACGGUCCAGACUCCUACGGGAGGCAGCAGUGGGGAAUAUUGGACAAUGGGCGCAAGCCUGAUCCAGCCAUACCGCGUGGGUGAAGAAGGCCUUCGGGUUGUAAAGCCCUUUUGUUGGGAAAGAAAGGCAGCAGGUUAAUACCCCGCUGUUCUGACGGUACCCAAAGAAUAAGCACCGGCUAACUUCGUG
rnacentral:rRNA from 1 species